rnacentral:rRNA from 1 species
UUGGAGAGUUUUGAUCCUGGCUCAGGACGAACGCUGGCGGCGUGCCUAAUACAUGCAAGUCGAGCGAGCGGAACCAACAGAUUUACUUCGGUAAUGACGUUGGGAAAGCGAGCGGCGGAUGGGUGAGUAACACGUGGGGAACCUGCCCCUAAGUCUGGGAUACCAUUUGGAAACAGGUGCUAAUACCGGAUAAUAAAGCAGAUCGCAUGAUCAGCUUUUGAAAGGCGGCGUAAGCUGUCGCUAAGGGAUGGCCCCGCGGUGCAUUAGCUAGUUGGUAAGGUAACGGCUUACCAAGGCGACGAUGCAUAGCCGAGUUGAGAGACUGAUCGGCCACAUUGGGACUGAGACACGGCCCAAACUCCUACGGGAGGCAGCAGUAGGGAAUCUUCCACAAUGGACGCAAGUCUGAUGGAGCAACGCCGCGUGAGUGAAGAAGGUUUUCGGAUCGUAAAGCUCUGUUGUUGGUGAAGAAGGAUAGAGGUAGUAACUGGCCUUUAUUUGACGGUAAUCAACCAGAAAGUCACGGCUAACUACGUGCCAGCAGCCGCGGUAAUACGUAGGUGGCAAGCGUUGUCCGGAUUUAUUGGGCGUAAAGCGAGCGCAGGCGGAAAAAUAAGUCUAAUGUGAAAGCCCUCGGCUUAACCGAGGAACUGCAUCGGAAACUGUUUUUCUUGAGUGCAGAAGAGGAGAGUGGAACUCCCAUGUGUAGCGGUGGAAUGCGUAGAUAUAUGGAACGACACCAGUGGCGAAGGCGGCUCUUCUGGUCUGCAACUG